rnacentral:rRNA from 1 species
AGCUAGUUGGGGAGGUAAUAGCUCACCAAGGCGAUGACGGGUAGCUGGUCUGAGAGGACGACCAGCCACAAUGGAACUGAGACACGGUCCAUACUCCUACGGGAGGCAGCAGUGAGGAAUCUUCCACAAUGGGCGAAAGCCUGAUGGAGCGACACCGCGUGAAGGAUGAAGCCUUUGUUGGUGUAAACUUCUUUUCUCUGGGAAGAUAAUGACGGUACCAGAGGAAUAAGGGGCGGCAAACUUCAUGCCAGCAGCCGCGGUAAUACGAAGGCCCCAAGCGUUAUCCGGAAUUACUGGGCGUAAAGCGUCUGUAGGUGGUUUUUUAAGUCUUUCCGUGAAAUUUCGGGGCUCAACCCUGAAUUGCGGGAGAAACUGGAGAACUUGAGUGUGGGAGGGGGAAGCAGAACGGUAAGAGUAGGGGUGCAAUCCGUUGAUACUUACCAGAAUACCAAAAGCGAAGGCAGCUUCCUGGAACACUACUGACACUGAGAGACGAAAGCGUGGGGAGCAAAAGGGAUUAGAUACCCCUGUAGUCCACGCCCUAAACGAUGGGUGCUAAGUGUUGGACUUCGGUCCAGUGCUUCAAGCUAACGCAUUAAGCAUCCCGCCUGAGGAGUACGGUCGCAAGAUUAAAACUCAAAUGAAUAGACGGGGACCCGCACAAGCAGUGGAUCAUGUGGCUUAAUUCGACACUAAACGAGGAACCUCACCUAGGCUUGACAUUGAUAGAAUUUUUCAGGAAUGAGAAAGUGCCCGCAAGGGAACUUGAAAACAGGCGCUGCAUGGUUGUCGUCAGCUCGUGCCUUGAGGUGUUCGGUUAAGUCCGUUAACGAGCGCAACCCACGUCGUAUGUUACUAUGUCAUACGAGACUGCUCGAGUUAAUCGAGAGGAAGGUGUGGAUGACGUCAAAUCAGCAUGGCCCUUAUGCCUAGGGCUACACACAUGAUACAAUGGUCGGUACAAACUGUUGCAACACCGCGAGGUGAAGCUAAUCAGAAAAAGCCGAUCUCAGUCCAGAUUGGAGUCUGCAACUCGACUCCAUGAAGUUGGAAUUGCUAGUAAUCGUGAAUCAGCUAUGUCACGGUGAAUCUGUUCCCGGGUCUUGUACUCACCGCCCGUCAAACCAUGGGAGGUGUGCGUACCUGAAGUCCUUCGAGCAAUACGGAGGCCCACGGUAAACACACUGACUGGGGUUAAGUCGGAACAAGGUAUCCGUACGAGAACGUGCGGAUG